CCGGCGGCGGGGAGGUCGCGGGGCCGGGAGGCGCGAGGUGCUGAGCCAGGUGUUCUACAUAAAUUAUCUCAUUUGUUUUUUCUGACAACAUAAUAAGAAAAAGAAAAACAUCCAUUCAUGAGAGUUCAGGGAUACGUGAAAAUGAAGCAAAUGAGGAAAGACCCAUUCACAUUCCUCCAAAAGAUCUGUGGCUCACUGGAAUCAUGUUACUGGCUCCUGGUAGUCCCUGACUUUACCUGUUUGUUCCAGGAACUUGCUUUAUGGCCAUUUGUUCUAAUGAUCAGUUUGGACAACCAACCUUUAUUCCUCCACCUCAGACAAUAUUCAACAUCCUGUAAUCAUCAUAGCGGUGCUGCCUGCUUUCCUUGGCCACCAAGUGGAGGUGUUACCAUCUGGUGGGUCAGAGGAUCCCUUCGUUUGAGGUAGGAUAUGGAAUCGCAUCCACUCUGAUUUGUUGCCAGCAGUGUUCUCCAACUUAAUUAUCCUCUGUGAUCCACACUAAAGUAUUUUGAAGAAUAACAAAGCUCUCCAAGGGUCUUAAUACAGUUCUGGAGGUCAGUAAGUCCAAUAUCAAGGUGCCAGCAUCAGGCAUUAUGGCCAGCACACUUCCUGCGAAUUUGUACCACCACCCCUUAUCUCAUCUAUGCUUCUGCUCACAGCACUGCACUGGAGCCAGGGGAUGGAUACCUGGCACUUGUAUGUCCUAUGAAGAAAGAGAGGAGGAUACAUUGCUUCCCUAUGUAUCCUUAAGGGAUAGACCAGAGGAAAAGUUAAGUAAUAGAUAAACAAUCAAUAAUACCUAAUUGGUUUCCCAAUCAAUUAGCACUUACUGUGUUGGAUUUGUUCACUUUCAGCCAUAGUUACACCUUGAAUUUCUGUAUUUCCAAAGUGGGCUCUUUUUUUUCUAAGGAAUUUCCUCAAUUUUUUCGUGUAAGUAGGCUUCUGAGGAGUCUAUUUCACUGAUUUUUGUGAUAUAUUUAAUCAUUCCAGGGCUACAAAAUUUAAGCUGAAUUUAAAUUAUUCAUAAUAUAACAAUCUCUCUUCCUCUGUCUCUCUUUCUUUCUAUAUCUUUCAUUACAUAUAUGUAAUAAAAUAUUUUCAUUAUAUAUCUGUAUAUCUUUUAUAGAAAUCUUUUCAUUAUAUAUUUCAUAUAUAUUCAUGUAUCUUUCAUACAUU
rnacentral:lncRNA from 10 species